CAGCUGCACUCCAUACAAAAAAUAAAAAGCGACCGUUUUACUCUCUAUAGUUUGGAGAUAAAAACAAAAUCAUCCCUAACAUUUUUCAAAAUAGUUCCUAACGUUACAAUUAUUUUUAAAAUUAUCCUUUUUAACCUUAAUCUUUGUUUUGGACCAAAUUACCCCUGCUACAAAUAAAAGAAAAAAAAACUAUAUCCAUCCCACCACCACUACUGCUCUUCUUCACGCUCCUUCCAAUUCAACCAGCAUGACUCCUUCCAAUUCAACCACCAGGGCCACCAACCCACCACCGCUACUAAUAACCCUAAUCUCAACCUUACCCCACCAAUCUACCACAGCAAGACCGAAUCGCCAACAAUCCUCUGCAAACUUGAACUAAUACAGAAGAUGAUUGAACAUGUCUCAGGCAAUAAACUCAACGUGUAACUCAGCCAUGAAUCGGUCUUCCAUGAAUUGAAGAAAAUCGCAUGUACCUGUCCCAGUAAAAAGUUCGUGUGCAUCAUCUUCGCUAAAUCGGAUUGGUUUGAGUGAUAAAAACGAUGGACAAAUUACUACAGAUCCCAACAUGCGAGCUUUUAGAUUCGGUGUAUAGUUGUCAUUGGAUUGUUCUUGUUGGUGAUGGUAGUGGAGUGUGAGACGUAAUUUGGGGGGUGGUACCUGAUAGUGAGGGACUGAUAGGGAGAUGAUGAUGGUUGUGGAUGGAUUUGAUGGAGAUGGAUGAUGAUGGAAGGGAAACGUCGAUAAUGGUGAUGAUGGAAGGACGCUGGAUGACGAUGUUUUUUUUCUUAAAAAAAUUAUUAUUAUUAUUAUUUAUUUCUUUUUAACAAAGAUGAUUUUAUAAAUAACUGUAACGUUAGAGACGAUUUUAAAUUAAAAAAAAUGUUAUGAAUGAUUUUAAUUUUUACUCUAAACUAUAAGAAUCAAAAUAGUAUUUAUCUUAAAAAAAAACUAAUAUUUUAAAUUCUUCUACCUACCAAUUCACUCUAAAACAGAACAAAGUAACAAACUAACAUUUUAAACCCGGUUUUUAGUGGGAUGGACUACCUAAGUUUAUCACCCCAAGUUGUAGUCCAUAGAAUGUAAACUACCAUAUGUAUUAGCAUGCCGGAAAUAGGAUUCUGCUUUACUCGUAAGAAUUAAAAUAAAAUUUGCUCCC